rnacentral:rRNA from 1 species
AACGAACGCUGGCGGCAUGCCUAACACAUGCAAGUCGAGCGAGAUCUUCGGGUCUAGUGGCGCACGGGUGCGUAACGCGUGGGAAUCUGCCCUUUGGUUCGGAAUAACAGUUGGAAACGACUGCUAAUACCGGAUGAUGACGAAAGUCCAAAGAUUUAUCGCCAGAGGAUGAGCCCACGUAGGAUUAGCUAGUUGGUGUGGUAAAGGCGCACCAAGGCGACGAUCCUUAGCUGGUCUGAGAGGAUGAUCAGCCACACUGGGACUGAGACACGGCCCAGACUCCUACGGGAGGCAGCAGUGGGGAAUAUUGGACAAUGGGCGAAAGCCUGAUCCAGCAAUGCCGCGUGAGUGAUGAAGGCCUUAGGGUUGUAAAGCUCUUUUACCCGGGAUGAUAAUGACAGUACCGGGAGAAUAAGCUCCGGCUAACUCCGUGCCAGCAGCCGCCGUAA